GACGAACGCUGGCGGCGUGCUUAACACAUGCAAGUCGAACGGAAAGGCCCUGCUUUUGUGGGGUGCUCGAGUGGCGAACGGGUGAGUAACACGUGAGUAACCUGCCCUUGACUUUGGGAUAACUUCAGGAAACUGGGGCUAAUACCGGAUAGGAGCUCCUGCUGCAUGGUGGGGGUUGGAAAGUCUCGGCGGUUGGGGAUGGACUCGCGGCUUAUCAGCUUGUUGGUGGGGUAGUGGCAUACCAAGGCUUUGACGGGUAGCCGGCCUGAGAGGGUGAACGGCGACAUUGGGACUGAGAGACGGCGCAGACUGCUACGGGAGGCAGCAGUGGGGAGUAUUGCACAAUGGGCGGAAGCCUGAUGCAGCGACGCCGGGGGCGGGAUGACGGCCUUCGGGUUGUAAACCGCUUUCGCCUGUGACGAAGCGUGAGUGACGGUAAUGGGUAAAGAAGCACCGGCUAACUACGUG
rnacentral:rRNA from 1 species